rnacentral:rRNA from 1 species
AUUGAACGCUGGCGGAAUGCUUUACACAUGCAAGUCGAACGGUAGAGGGGGCAACCCCUCGAGAGUGGCGAACGGGUGAGUAAUAUAUCGGAACGUGCCCAGUCGUGGGGGAUAACGUAGCGAAAGUUACGCUAAUACCGCAUACGAUCUAAGGAUGAAAGCGGGGGAUCGCAAGACCUCGCGCGAUUGGAGCGGCCGAUAUCAGAUCAGGUAGUUGGUGGGGUAAAGGCUCACCAAGCCAACGAUCUGUAGCUGGUCUGAGAGGACGACCAGCCACACUGGAACUGAGACACGGUCCAGACUCCUACGGGAGGCAGCAGUGGGGAAUUUUGGACAAUGGACGCAAGUCUGAUCCAGCCAUUCCGCGUGCAGGAUGAAGGCCCUCGGGUUGUAAACUGCUUUUGUACGGAACGAAAAGGUCUCUCUUAAUACGGGGGACUCAUGACGGUACCGUAAGAAUAAGCACCGGCUAACUACGUGCCAGCCGCCGCCGUAA